rnacentral:rRNA from 1 species
GGGUUGUGAGGUUAAGCGACUAAGCGUACACGGUGGAUGCCCUGGCAGUCAGAGGCGAUGAAGGACGUGCUAAUCUGCGAAAAGCGUCGGUAAGGUGAUAUGAACCGUUAUAACCGGCGAUGUCCGAAUGGGGAAACCCAGUGUGAUUCGUCACACUAUCGUUAACUGAAUACAUAGGUUAACGAGGCGAACCGGGGGAACUGAAACAUCUAAGUACCCCGAGGAAAAGAAAUCAACCGAGAUUCCCCCAGUAGCGGCGAGCGAACGGGGAGCAGCCCAGAGUCUGAAUCAGCUUGUGUGUUAGUGGAACGGUCUGGAAAGUCCGACGGUACAGGGUGAUAGUCCCGUACACCAAAAUGCACAGGUUGUGAACUCGAAGAGUAGGGCGGGACACGUGGUAUCCUGUCUGAAUAUGGGGGGACCAUCCUCCAAGGCUAAAUACUCCUGACUGACCGAUAGUGAACCAGUACCGUGAGGGAAAGGCGAAAAGAACCCCGGCGAGGGGAGUGAAAAAGAACCUGAAACCGUGUACGUACAAGCAGUGGGAGCACCUUCGGGUGUGACUGCGUACCUUUUGUAUAAUGGGUCAGCGACUUAUAUUCUGUAGCAAGGUUAACCGUAUAGGGGAGCCGCAGGGAAACCGAGUCUUAACUGGGCGUUAAGUUGCAGGGUAUAGACCCGAAACCCGGUGAUCUAGCCAUGGGCAGGUUGAAGGUUGGGUAACACUAACUGGAGGACCGAACCGACUAAUGUUGAAAAAUUAGCGGAUGACUUGUGGCUGGGGGUGAAAGGCCAAUCAAACCGGGAGAUAGCUGGUUCUCCCCGAAAGCUAUUUAGGUAGCGCCUCGUGAACUCAUCUUCGGGGGUAGAGCACUGUUUCGGCUAGGGGGUCAUCCCGACUUACCAACCCGAUGCAAACUACGAAUACCGAAGAAUGUUAUCACGGGAGACACACGGCGGGUGCUAACGUCCGUCGUGAAGAGGGAAACAACCCAGACCGCCAGCUAAGGUCCCAAAGUCAUGGUUAAGUGGGAAACGAUGUGGGAAGGCACAGACAGCCAGGAUGUUGGCUUAGAAGCAGCCAUCAUUUAAAGAAAGCGUAAUAGCUCACUGGUCGAGUCGGCCUGCGCGGAAGAUGUAACGGGGCUAAACCAUGCACCGAAGCUGCGGCAGCGACACUAUGUGUUGUUGGGUAGGGGAGCGUUCUGUAAGCCUGCGAAGGUGUGCUGUGAGGCAUGCUGGAGGUAUCAGAAGUGCGAAUGCUGACAUAAGUAACGAUAAAGCGGGUGAAAAGCCCGCUCGCCGGAAGACCAAGGGUUCCUGUCCAACGUUAAUCGGGGCAGGGUGAGUCGACCCCUAAGGCGAGGCCGAAAGGCGUAGUCGAUGGGAAACAGGUUAAUAUUCCUGUACUUGGUGUUACUGCGAAGGGGGGACGGAGAAGGCUAUGUUAGCCGGGCGACGGUUGUCCCGGUUUAAGCAUGUAGGCUGGUUGUCCAGGCAAAUCCGGAUAAUCAAGGCUGAGGUGUGAUGACGAGGCACUACGGUGCUGAAGUAACAAAUGCCCUGCUUCCAGGAAAAGCCUCUAAGCAUCAGGUAACAUCAAAUCGUACCCCAAACCGACACAGGUGGUCAGGUAGAGAAUACCAAGGCGCUUGAGAGAACUCGGGUGAAGGAACUAGGCAAAAUGGUGCCGUAACUUCGGGAGAAGGCACGCUGGUGUGUAGGUGAAGCCCCUGCGGGUGGAGCUGAGACCAGUCGAAGAUACCAGCUGGCUGCAACUGUUUAUUAAAAACACAGCACUGUGCAAACACGAAAGUGGACGUAUACGGUGUGACGCCUGCCCGGUGCCGGAAGGUUAAUUGAUGGGGUUAUCCGUAAGGAGAAGCUCUUGAUCGAAGCCCCGGUAAACGGCGGCCGUAACUAUAACGGUCCUAAGGUAGCGAAAUUCCUUGUCGGGUAAGUUCCGACCUGCACGAAUGGCGUAAUGAUGGCCAGGCUGUCUCCACCCGAGACUCAGUGAAAUUGAACUCGCUGUGAAGAUGCAGUGUACCCGCGGCAAGACGGAAAGACCCCGUGAACCUUUACUAUAGCUUGACACUGAACAUUGAGCCUUGAUGUGUAGGAUAGGUGGGAGGCUUUGAAGCGUGGACGCCAGUCUGCGUGGAGCCAACCUUGAAAUACCACCCUUUAAUGUUUGAUGUUCUAACGUUGGCCCCUGACCGGGGUUGCGGACAGUGUCUGGUGGGUAGUUUGACUGGGGCGGUCUCCUCCCAAAGCGUAACGGAGGAGCACGAAGGUUAGCUAAUCCUGGUCGGACAUCAGGAGGUUAGUGCAAUGGCAUAAGCUAGCUUGACUGCGAGCGUGACGGCGCGAGCAGGUGCGAAAGCAGGUCAUAGUGAUCCGGUGGUUCUGAAUGGAAGGGCCAUCGCUCAACGGAUAAAAGGUACUCCGGGGAUAACAGGCUGAUACCGCCCAAGAGUUCAUAUCGACGGCGGUGUUUGGCACCUCGAUGUCGGCUCAUCACAUCCUGGGGCUGAAGUAGGUCCCAAGGGUAUGGCUGUUCGCCAUUUAAAGUGGUACGCGAGCUGGGUUUAGAACGUCGUGAGACAGUUCGGUCCCUAUCUGCCGUGGGCGCUGGAGAAUUGAGGGGGGCUGCUCCUAGUACGAGAGGACCGGAGUGGACGCAUCACUGGUGUUCGGGUUGUCAUGCCAAUGGCACUGCCCGGUAGCUAAAUGCGGAAGAGAUAAGUGCUGAAAGCAUCUAAGCACGAAACUUGCCCCGAGAUGAGUUCUCCCUGAGACUAUAAGUCUCCUGAAGGAACGUUAAAGACGAUGACGUUGAUAGGCCGGGUGUGUAAGCGCAGCGAUGCGUUGAGCUAACCGGUACUAAUGAACCGUGAGGCUUAACCUUACAACGCCGAAG